AUUGAACGCUGGCGGAAUGCUUUACACAUGCAAGUCGAACGGCAGCACGGACUUCGGUCUGGUGGCGAGUGGCGAACGGGUGAGUAAUACAUCGGAACGUGCCCAGUCGUGGGGGAUAACGUAGCGAAAGCUACGCUAAUACCGCAUACGAUCUAAGGAUGAAAGCGGGGGAUCGCAAGACCUCGCGCGAUUGGAGCGGCCGAUGGCAGAUUAGGUAGUUGGUAGGGUAAAGGCCUACCAAGCCGACGAUCUGUAGCUGGUCUGAGAGGAUGAUCAGCCACACGGGGACUGAGACACGGCCCAGACUCCUACGGGAGGCAGCAGUGGGGAAUUUUGGACAAUGGGCGCAAGCCUGAUCCAGCCAUUCCGCGUGCAGGAUGAAGGCCUUCGGGUUGUAAACUGCUUUUGUACAGAACGAAAAGGCUCUGGUUAAUACCCGGGGCUCAUGACGGUACUGUAAGAAUAAGCACCGGCUAACUACGUGCCAGCAGCAGCCGCAG
rnacentral:rRNA from 1 species